rnacentral:misc_RNA from 1 species
GUUUCGAUAUGUCACAUUUCCAGAAUCGGAAUAUCCCGAAUCAUGAAAAAAAGAAAGAAGGUGAAUUACCAUUACCGGGUCCAAUGGGAAUUGUUUUGUUAUUUAGGAAACCAUAAGGAGGAUGGGAAAGCAACUAUGACUAGUAGAUAAAGAGUAAAGAGUAGUGAAAGGAUUGAAACCAAAGAGAAGAUACUAUCGAUCAAACUAGAUCGAUAGCAGCAUGUCCAAAAUUGACAACAUUGCUAAAAAGAAUUCAAAGAAGACGGUUCAAAGCAGUCAGCUCCUCCUUAGCAACUCGAGCGUCUUCUUUCCAGCUUUCGAAGCUGCUUCACCCUGGCCCUGUGGCUUUUUUCCUCCAAUCGAACCGAAGGGAAUCGCAGAUUUAUUCCGUUUUUAGUUCUUCGAUCUCUCGCUUCAGAUCACCGCUUCGAAAAGCUAACGUCCUCAUCUUUGCUUCGACGCGAUCGAAGACCUCCUGAGCUAUCCUCAAAGCCUCUUGGGCUGCGGAAAGAGCAAUCUCAGCUUGCAAGAAUUCGUCAACAGACUUGUCCGUUUCCAGCUGAGUAGAGGACAAGAGCGAUUCAGCCGAGCCUAGCCGAUUGCAGAUUUCAGCCAGCCUCUGCUCUGCGGCUCAGUUGCCAUCUCUCGAGCGAAAGAGGAGUGUGUGCGGAUUUUCUGCGCAUAAGUCGGGAUAUACUGGAGGCGUGCAACAAAACAAUCGGCUGAUCAGACAGAGGAAUAGCUGGGUGAGAUUGAAGCUCAGUCUUGUAUAAACGUAUGGUAUGGUGGAAUCCCGACAUGGGCGAGUAGUCUCGGAACGGGGUCGAUCUGGUAUAUAGGCCACUAAACCAAUCAUCAUAUCUUCUUCCGCUUUACAAUCCAAACUCAUUUGAAUCUUUCCUUACAAAGAUAUUCCAAAGUUAGCUUCAGAAAUGUUGUAUUGAACACUUCUCUUUCUUUCACUAUUCCCACCUAGGUCCCCGGCUUUGGUUGCUUGGUCUACCAUCUGAGCUACAUCCCCU